UGUCAUGACCCAAAACCUGGCCCAUCUAAAUCCCAGCGAAGCCCAAACCCAUUUCCAGAGGCCCAUGAGAGAGGGUCGCCGGAGCUCGUCGCCGGAGCCACCACGUCCAGUGAUCGCGUUCAGUUCACCACCACCGAUCAUCCCCCUAGACCACCAUCGCGUUCCUCUCGACGAGACGAAUCCAUAGCCACCGAAAUCGUCGAAAUCGGAGCUCAGACGAAGCCGUACGCGCCUCCGGAAGAUCAACCGCGCGCGCGCGCGUGAAACGCACGCGCCACCGUCUCCGACCACCGUUCGCCGGAGCCGCCGCGCCCGGCCGCCGUCAGUUCGCCGCCGGGAGUCCGCCGCCGCGUCGCCACCGCUCCGCCGCCGCCGCCGGUGACUUUUCCGAUUUGGAGUCUAUUUGAGCAGCUGGAGUUCAUAGACAUCACUUCUCUUCAUUUGCUAAGGUGAGACCGAUGAGCAGGAGUGAUCAUAUCGGACUAGUGCUACUAUUUGGGCUCGUGGGCUUUAUCGUUUUAUCGCUUUAUCUUUUAUCGUUAUUGGGCCUUUAGGCCUUCGGACUUCUAUCGUUUACGCUACUUCCUAUUUUCAGACCUUCGGACUUAUGUUGUUAUUUAUAUUUCGGAUGUUUAUUUUCGGAUUUGACUUUAUGGUAUUGUAUUUGACUUUAUGAUAUGACGUGGAUUUUAUUAUCUGUAUUAUUAUUAUU